GACAGUUUGUCCGAGUGGUUAAGGAGCUUGACUUGAAGUCUUAUCUUUUAGAUCAAGUGGUGUACGCCUCGUAGGUUCGAAUCCUGCAACUGUCG